rnacentral:rRNA from 1 species
UACGAAGGGGGCUAGCGUUGUUCGGAAUCACUGGGCGUAAAGCGCACGUAGGCGGAUUUUUAAGUCAGGGGUGAAAUCCCGAGGCUCAACCUCGGAACUGCCUUUGAUACUGGAGAUCUUGAGUCCGGAAGAGGUAAGUGGAACUGCGAGUGUAGAGGUGAAAUUCGUAGAUAUUCGCAAGAACACCAGUGGCGAAGGCGGCUUACUGGUCCGGAACUGACGCUGAGGUGCGAAAGCGUGGGGAG